GUUUCUCUAGCUCUUAGUGGAGCAGAGGGUGUGAUGGGACAUGGUUAGACUUUACUGCAAUAAAGAACCAGCUGUCCAGUCCUUCUCGCAACCCCUCUACCCAGACACCUCAAGUAAAUAAACAUGAGCCUCUGGAACAUUUUAAAAGCUUGAAUUUUCUAUUCGUCUAAAACAAAUUGACAUCCCUUCUAGAUUAUGCAUGGCUUAGGCUGAGUAGGUUUCUGGGGAAUUGUUGAGCCAUCAAAAGACCAGAAAACAGAGAAGAUGGCACUUGCCCUGCGCAGCUUUGGAGGACUUGAAGUUAAAAACACAGCACCUCUUGUUUAUGUGACUGGGCAAUUAUUUACAUGAAUCAUCUCUCCCAGGGAGUUGGUGGGGGAGGGUCCGCUUGAGUCUACAAGUCAGGUCACUGUAAGAAUUGAAGAGAGAUGGAGGCCUGCAGAUACACAGAAGGAAGUAUGAGUAAUGUAACUGAGCUAGCGCCCUCGGGGGGCGCCUGGGCACACAAGCCUUUCCGUGUCCCCCAUUGCUUGUUUUUAGGGAGCAAGCCUCAGCCUCCAUGACUUUCCCUGAGUUCCAAAGGGCAGUUGCUGAUCAGGGAAGGGAGGGGAUGCAGAGACCAGGGAGGAGCAGCCAAGAGACAAUGGUGCAGCCUUGGGGCAGGUCCUGGUUCCUCCUCAAGGAACACACAGAACAAGAGCUUUGAGCCUUUCUGCAGAACCAAAACCCCCAACAAACGGAAGAACCACUUGAUGAAGCAUCUUCAUUCCGGGAAGAAGGAGGACCACCAGAACCAGUCCUAGGGCCAUGAAACACCGGCUUUGAAAGACAGCACAAGCUUGCCUCUACCCGGAUCCUUAUCUUCUGCCCUAUUUCCUGCUCCUCAAACUACAAAACAACCUCCUAAUCCCUUCCAAAGGGGGCACAGUCUUUAAGGCGUUAGUCUGCUGUGGCCACCUUUGCCUGGCAGAGCAAUAAAGCUAUCUUUUCCCCUUCACCCCAAACUCCGUCUCCUCAUUUCAAUUCGGCACUGGAGACAGAGGCCAAAUUUCAGCAACAGUAACAGGGCCAAGGGGACCGGAUCCUUGUGUGAACUGAAGUCUGGCACUUGCCCUCGGCCUCUACGUGAAUCAUGAGCCACUGCAGCUGCUGACCUGCAGCAUCCCGAGCAGAGCUCAGGAGAGAGAGGGGACUGAUAUUCAUGCAGGUUAAAAAGAGGGCCGGACUCACUUUGCAAUAGUCUUUAUAUCCCCCUGAGAUGAGAUCUCCAUGGAGACCCAAAUUGAUCUUGUGAUUGGUCUUGGGCAGGAUACCUUCUGUGCACAAGGAGCAAGUUAGACGGUGGCCGGGUGAGGAAUGGGCGACACUCCUUCUCUAGCAGGGAGAGAGCAGCCCAGGCUGGUCAAAGCAGGGGAAGGGGCAUGACAAGGAGACAUGGCCAGAGGCUUUGGGGUUUCACCCCCUCGGAGGGGACUUGACGCCUAUAACAAUUUUAUGAGCCCACUUCUUGCAUCUCCGCACGUCUAGAAAAACACUAAAACCCCUCAGUGAUGACUGAUGUGUGACGAGCAGUCACCUUCAUGAGACCAGCAGCGACCUUCUGUAAAAGGUGCGCCUGGCUGCAGGCGCCUCCCGUUCACCUUUCUGCGGCGUCGGUCAUGACGUUCCCUUGGUGACGGUCCCCCUCCUCUUGCUGCCCUAUUUCAGAGCCGUCGGAAAUGCUCCCUCCUGGGCUGUGGUUAGGUGGACCAGACAAAAGAUGUCACGGUCGGUCGUCAGGUCCUCGGUGAGAACAGCCACUCCCGAGGGCGGGCCGCUGAGCCCUGGGGGGACUCAGGAGGGAAACAAAGACUGGCCCCCAGCUGAGGUGCACAGCGAAGGAGUGAUUCCCGGGAGCCCGGACCUUUGCAUCUUCCCGUGGAAACGGGGUUUCUGUUCAUCUUUUCUAUAAAUCUGGUUAUCUGUAAACCUUUAGUUCCUACUACCUUCCCUUUGCUGCAAAAGCUCACAUCUUAGCUCCCCCCUCAUCUCCUCGGAGCAGUUUCUCAGGGCUACCUGAGAUGCUGUCUCCUGGGCUUAAGUCCUAAUUUCACCCCAAAUAAAACUUGACUCUAAACUUUCAGACUGGAGUUCCUGUUGUGGCGCAGGGAAAACAAAUCCCACUAGGAACCAUGAGGUUGCGGGUUCAAUCCUGGCCUCGCUCAGUGGGUUAAGGAUCUGGCAUUGCCCUGAGCCGUGGUGCAGGUCGCAGAUGAGGCUCAGAUCCCGCGCUGCUGUGGCUGUGGUGUAGGCCAUCAGCUACAGCUCCGAUUGGAUCCCUAGCCUGGGAACCUCCAUAGGCUGUGGGUUCAGGCCUAAAAAGCAAAAGGAGAAAAAAAAUUUUUUUAAAUAAACUUUCAGAGGGUCAGAUUCGAGUCAGACCUCAGCCCACCUCCCGGUCAAGUUGCCCUGGAAGGACAGGGAACUCCUGGUGUUAGAUGCAGAGCAGCUCAGCCUGUGCCGUGUGGAUUCCAGUGCCUGGAACAAUUUCCUGCCCUGAGAACCUUCUCAGCUAUGUUCAGACAUCACAGCAAUUCCAGGCACCAUAAUUCAAGAGCGACACUGACAAACGGAUGUUUGAUCACUGGGGUGGCAGGCUUGGUGAGCCCUCUGGAAGCAGACCAUUUAAAGAGUAAUUGCUGGAAUGAUGUUCAUUUUUUAAACGGCGGAUCUUAAAAUGUUUUAAAGGGUGAUCAUGCAUAAGAGAGGUUCAACUUAAUCUGUUUACAUAAAACUCUGAGCAGCACCGUCCAGUGGAAAAAUAACGUGAAGCACAUGUGUAACGUAAGCGUUCCAGCUCCAAUUUAAAAAGCAAAGAGAAAUUGGUGAAAGUCAUUUUUAUUUACGUUACCAUCUCAUUAUUUUGAGAAAUAACUGACAUCGAAUAUCACACGAGUUUCAGGUGAGCGGCAUAAUGCUCUGAUGUUUGUAUGCAUUGCGGAAUGACGGCCACAAUGAGCCUACCUAACAUCCGUUGCCACACACAGUCACAACGUUUUUUUCUUGUGAUGAGAGAACUUUUAAGAUCUGCUCUCUUAGCAACUUUCAAAUAUUCAAUACAGUAUUAACUAUUGUCACCACGCUGUACAUUAGACCCUAUGACUUAUUUAUUUUAUAACUAGAAAUGUGUGGUGAAAUUAAUUUUAAUGAUGUACUUUAUUAACCCAAUAUAACCUACAUAGUAUCAUUAUGGCAUAUAAUCAAUAUUUUUUAAAAUUAUUGAGAUAAUUUAAUAGGCUCUUUUCUCACUAGGUCUUUGAAAUCCAAAGUAUAUUUGACAAAAUUCCCACCAGCCACAUUUCAAGGACUCACCGGACACACGUUGCCAGUGGCUGCCAUAUUGAUCAGAGCAGCUCUAGAACCUAAAUUGGGCCACAGUGCUCCAGAAAGAAAUAUCAGGGCUCUGUCUUCAAUGUCCUGGUGACCUGAGGCCCCUGCUCUAAAUCAUUAUGAGCUAUUAAUGUUUCCUGCUAAUGGUAAUUUCUCAGUUGGAAAAACAUCCACAGCUCUUGUCUCUUUUCAACUCAUGCUAACAAAGAAGCACCUUUCCCGAGGUCCCCUUCUCGCCAUCCUGAUCCAUGCCUUCCUCCUACGUGUGCAAACACCUGCGUCUCCUCAGCCCUGCUGUCCUCCACGUCCUCUCACAUUCUGCAGUGGCACACGGCCUCUGCCUCUGGUGCACACCACAUCUCUCACCUCAUUUUCACUACCUAGUGCCCAUGAACUGAAUUUCGGUGGCACAUUACUGCAAACCACAGGCAGCUUUACACACCAUCGGCAGCUGCCAGUGAGGCAGUCCAAGCUGGGGCGUUCUCACAGCGAUAGGGCUCCAGUGCUACCUCAGUGCCCUUGGAGUUUCUCAUCUGCCUUGUGUUUGUGGUUGUUUGGGGGUUUAACAGACACAAGAUAUAAGAACUAUUGUGAAAAGUAUGUCCUCCAAGACCUGCCUGUCUGGUGUCUAAUCUGGAGGCGUAAAAAGUGUUCUUAGCAAAAAUUUUAUUCUAGAAAAGCCUCAGAGGGUGUACUCUGUGGGGUACCCCACCCACCCAGGAGAAAUCCACAGCGGGUGGUACCUGGCCAAAGUCAGCACCUAAGGCUGAUAGAGGUAUCUGGAGUGUCUUGGCCCCUCCAUAGAUCCUUUACCAUAUGGCCAUUUUCCAAUACUUUACACUAUAUCAAGAAGCGAGUAGAUGGGGGGGGGGGGUCCCCUUCCCCUUCUCUUCUGACAUCAGAAGAAAGAAGUCUUGGUGCUUUCCAGUUGCGUCCUCUCACUGUUCUUGGCACCAGAUGAUGCCAGCGAGUAAAAGUUGCUAAGCGUCACUUUUAGAAAGAAAAUAAGAUAGAUGCACAUGUUAGGUCUUAGUGUGACUUAAGCCAAGUGCCAAGUUCAAUGUUUUUUAAAUAUCCUCACCAUAGGGAUGGGAGGGAGAAGACGUGUCAGAAUAAUCUGUGAAUCCAAAUGCUUUUUAAUUGUGAAGCUGACUGUAGUUUCCAUCUGCAGGUUUAGCAAAACUUUUGCACGCCGAGAAAGAAUAUGCACGUUAGUGGGUAUGACCCCUGCCAGCCGUCUCCACGGGGCUGGGAGGGGGACUUCAGAGUGCAGAUUCUUUUAAGACAUGAUUUAAGGUUCUCCUCAACUGUCCACACCACAUAUUGAUUUUCUGUCACAGCUCUGUGUCUGGAGGGGUGGUACUCGCCAUUGAUCCACAGAGAGCAUUUUUAGAGCAUCAAAGAGGUACAGAAGGUGAGACUCAGAGGGAAAGACGGAAGCCGUGCUUUUAGGGCUGGAUACAGCUAAGCAGUGUAAAAGUCACAUCAAAUAUUAAGCCAAACCUGAGGGUUUUUAAAAAUGUUCUGAGACCUGUUGACAUAUGAAAUUUAACGGGACACACAAAAAGGGAAAGGAUGAUGACCUCUUCUGAUGGAAAACUUCCCUCCGAUAGAAUGGAAAGAAGCCGUAGGACCCGAUAAACUGAAUUCUGCAUUUAUCUUUUCUUAGAGGGCUUCCGUCUGUAAAUUCCAAGCGUCUAGAUUGCAAAGUUCAAUCAAUCCAGAAGAGAUGUUAAUAGGUCAAGGUCAGAGUUCAUCCGGGGACAAGCUGUUAGCUUAGCUCCAGCGUCAAAGGCUGUCCGGGGAACUCUGAUGGUGGAAUUCAUGCAGUCACCCAGAGCAGGAAGUGGCUGACUUCAUGGACAUUACUACGACAAAGAGCAAAACUGUUCUGGAACACAGCUGCCCACCUCCCAGGCCAGAAUGCCCACUGACCAUGGAAAACCUGCAUGCACCCAAAGAUUAGACUCGGGCCCACUGUAUUAGUCAAAUGAGGCAGCCAGAACAAAAUUCCACAGACCAGGGGUGGGGGGGUGGAAGGGAGGGAGGGAGGGCUUAAACCACAGAAACUUACUGCUCAUCAUUCUGGAGGCUGGAAGACUGAGAUUAGGGUAUCAGCAUAAUCUGGUUCUGAUGCUACCUCUUUUCUGGGCUUGGAGAUGGCCGCGUUCUCACUGUGUGUUCGUUUGGCCUCCCUUGGGUUUGGGCACACAGAGAAAGCAAGACAUCUCUGGUGUCUCUUCCUCUUCUUACAAAACCACCAAUCUUAUGAGAUGAAGACGCUACUCUUUGACUUCACAUCACUUUACCUUCUAAAAGCCUUACCCUCCAAUACAGUCACGUUAGAAGUUAGGGUGCCAACCUGUGAAUUAAGAGGCGGGUGAGGACGCAAUUCACUUCAUAACACCUUCCUUACCCAGCCUCUUUCACUUGCCUAAGCAGACUUAGUCUUCACUUAAAAAAAAAAGAAAAAAGAAAAAAUAUAAAAGGAUAUCUUUUCUCCUUUGAGUAACAGUUUAGAGUUUAGACCUGUUUUACCCCAAUUUUUUAGGCUACUAAUAGAGUUGAACAUGUAAAUGAGCAAUAAAGAGAUAAUCUACUCACAGCCAAGUGGAUAUCUAACUCAACUCAUGAAGGCCAUGAAGACAAAAAGUAAGCUCAAAGGAAGACAACUAUGAAUCUGCAAACUUGAGAUUCCUGCAUGAUGACUUGCACGGUUCCUGGUACUAAAUAAACCCUCAGUGUCAAAUGAAUGAAUGAAUGAAUAUUUUUCAACAAUGAAAAGAGACUGAUAUGAAUUAAAAUCAAAGCCAGAAAUGGCCCCAUUCAUCCGUGCUUAUUCAAGGCUAAAGUUGACCUAAAAUGACUGCCUUUUUAAAAUCAGGAUUUCAAAAUAUAAAACUGUAACAUUUCAAACAUAGAUAAUUACAUUUCUUAUCAAGUGCACUGGUUCUGGUAGAAUAAUUCAGUUUAAUAU
rnacentral:lncRNA from 1 species